UAGUGUUACAGCUUUUUUAGAAUAUGUCUAACAGGUUUUCUGGUCAGCACCAGAACCCUU
ensembl:snRNA U7 U7 small nuclear RNA